rnacentral:tRNA from 1 species
UGGCUCAGUGGUAGAGUGUGUGAUUGGCAUGCAUGAGGCCCUGGGUUCAAUUCCCAG